rnacentral:rRNA from 1 species
AUUGAACGCUGGCGGCAGGCCUAACACAUGCGAGUCGAGCGGAUGAAGGGAGCUUGCUCCUGGAUUCAGCGGCGGACGGGCGAGUAAUGCCUAGGAAUCUGCCUGGCAGUGGGGGCUAACGUCCGGAAACGGGCGCUAAUAUCGCAUACGUCCUGAGGGAGAAAGUGGGGGAUCUUCGGACCUCACGCUAUCAGAUGAGCCUAGGUCGGAUUAGCUAGUUGGUGGGGUAAAGGCCUACCAAGGCGACGAUCCGUAACUGGUCUGAGAGGCUGAUCAGUCACACUGGAACUGAGACACGGUCCAGACUCCUACGGGAGGCAGCAGUGGGGAAUAUUGGACAAUGGGCGAAAGCCUGAUCCAGCCAUGCCGCGUGUGUGAAGAAGGUCUUCGGAUUGUAAAGCACUUUAGGUUGGGAGGAAGGGCAGUAAGUUAAUACCUUGCUGUUUUGACGUUACCAACAGAAUAAGCACCGGCUAACUUCGUG